rnacentral:rRNA from 1 species
AAGAGACAGCAGUCGCCGCGGGAAAACGGAGGGAGCUAGCGUUAUUCGGAAUUACUGGGCGUAAAGCGCACGUAGGCGGCUUUGUAAGUAAGAGGUGAAAGCCCAGAGCUCAACUCUGGAAUUGCCUUUUAGACUGCAUCGCUUGAAUCAUGGAGAGGUCAGUGGAAUUACGAGUGUAGAGGUGAAAUUCGUAGAUAUUCGGAAGAACACCAGUGGCGAAGGCGGCUGACUGGACAUGUAUUGACGCUGAGGUGCGAAAGCGUGGGGAGCAAACAGGAUUAGAUACCCGUGUAGUCCCUGUCUCUUAUAC